AUUUAUAAAGUAUAUAUAUUUGUAUAAAUGACUUCCAAUCAUUAGGACUAAAUAAUUUUAGUAUAAAUA
rnacentral:tRNA from 1 species